GGGCCGCUAGCUUAGCUAGGUAGAUCAGAGUCGGAUGUAGCCUAUAGCGCCGGGCUCUUAACCCGGUGGUCGUGGGUUCGAAUCCCACGCGGCCCGCCA
rnacentral:tRNA from 1 species